rnacentral:rRNA from 2 species
GGGGAAACCCAGUGCAAUCCGUUGCACUAUCGUUAACUGAAUACAUAGGUUAACGAGGCGAACCGGGGGAACUGAAACAUCUAAGUACCCCGAGGAAAAGAAAUCAACCGAGAUUCCCCCAGUAGCGGCGAGCGAACGGGGAGCAGCCCGGAGUCUGAAUCAGCUUGUGUGUUAGUGGAACGGUCUGGAAAGUCCGACGGUACAGGGUGAUAGUCCCGUACACGAAAAUGCACAUGCUGUGAACUCGAAGAGUAGGGCGGGACACGUGGUAUCCUGUCUGAAUAUGGGGGGACCAUCCUCCAAGGCUAAAUACUCCUGACUGACCGAUAGUGAACCAGUACCGUGAGGGAAAGGCGAAAAGAACCCCGGCGAGGGGAGUGAAAAAGAACCUGAAACCGUGUAC